UGGGGAAUAUUGCACAAUGGGCGAAAGCCUGAUGCAGCGACGCCGCGUGAGGGAUGACGGCCUUCGGGUUGUAAACCUCUUUCAGUAGGGACGAAGCGCAAGUGACGGUACCUGCAGAAGAAGCACCGGCUAACUACGUGCCAGCAGCCGCGGUAAUACGUAGGGUGCGAGCGUUGUCCGGAAUUACUGGGCGUAAAGAGCUCGUAGGCGGUUUGUCACGUCGUCUGUGAAAUCCUAGGGCUUAACCCUGGACGUGCAGGCGAUACGGGCUGACUUGGGUACUACAGGGGAGACUGGAAUUUCUGGUGUAGCGGUGGAAUGCACAGAUAUCAGGAAGAACACCGAUGGCGAAGGCAGGUCUCUGGGUAGUAACUGACGCUGAGGAGCGAAAGCAUGGGUAGCGAACAGG
rnacentral:rRNA from 1 species